rnacentral:lncRNA from 1 species
CCGGAGGUGGUUGAGGGCUCCUGUAGUCCCAGCUACUCGGGAGGCUGAGGCAGAAGAAUCGCUUGAACCCCGGGAGGCGGAGGUUACAAUCUGUUUCUUAGAAGUGGACACGUGAACUCUUACACAGAUCAAGAGGAGCAGCUCUGUAAAUAUUUCCCUGAGAGACUGCGUGGCAAACGUGAAUCCUCAGUUCUGCAAAACCGCGCAGGGGAGAGAAAAAGCCGCCCACGAAUUGAACUGUCUGCACCGCCUACGCGUGUCUUAGCCCUGAACCCAAAGCGCAUCCAGUUGGAAACCACAGUUCAGUGGUUAAAGACAUCAGGCUGCCCCUUCCGAGGAGACGCCACUUCGUGAUUCCUUGCCUCCAUCCCAGGUGCCCACCUCAAAAAAGUAGCGCGAAGCAGAUUAGCUGAAAAGAGAUGACGGGUGGUAGCCGUAGCUCGCCGGCGAUCCGGUGAGCGCGCCCCGGACCCACCCCGCCCCCACAGCCCCGACUUCGACGCACGCGCAGCUCCGUCUCAGCUCGCUAGCCGACCCGCCCCUCCCACUUCUCCCCUGUACACGCAGCUGUUUUCUUCUGACAGAUCCCAUCAAGAACUUUCAGUCCUCUAGGCCUCGCACGUGCUGUCCCAUCAAUACCUGAAAUGUCACCUUCCUUUCAACUCCUUUCCCCUCGUUACCUCCAAGCACCUAUAGAGAAGGAAAAAUAAUCUUCCUUCUACCAGUUUGAGUUCUCAGCUGGGACUCCUGUAACAACAGACAGAAUGAAGAGAAAAACAAGUGUAUUAACAUGUGCAUUUCAUAUAUACAUGGGACAUACCCAGGGAAUGAGUAAUUCUAAAGGUGUGGCUGAGAACUCCAUUUUAUACAGCAUCGUCAACAAAGAACAAUACGUUUUUGGAGAAGUGACAACACAAAGGAAAAGGACCUUAAAGGCUGGGCGCGGUGGCUCACGCCUGUAAUCCCAGUACUUUGCGAGGCCGAGGUGGGCGGAUCACCUGAGGUCAGGAGUUCGAGACCAGCCUGACCAACAUGUGGUGAAACCUCGUCUCUACUAAAAAUACAAAAAUUAGCCGGGCGUGGUGGCGCGCGCCUGUAAUCCCAGCUACUCAGGAGGCUGAGGCAGGAGAAUCGCUUGAACUCGGAGGCAGAGGUUGCAGUGAGCCGAGAUCGCGCCACUGCACUCCAGCCUGCGCGACAGAGCGAGACUCUGUCCCAAAAAAAACAAAAAAAAAGAAAGCAAAAAGAAAGGACCUCGGGUCUCCAGGGACAGCAAAUUGUGGGAAAGCAAAUAUAUGGGAAAUUAAUGUUAGAUAAAGGCAGGUUCCUAAAGCUUGUUAAAUGUACUUCUGUGGUCCCCUCUGUUCACGUCUCCAAGCUGUUAAGGACCUAAAGUUGUCUUAGGUUAUCAACCUUUGUCCUUCCUGGUAGAGAAAGGAGGAGGAACGACUUUGUAAAUGUAUAUCCUGCUUUUAGGCAGAUAGGGGGAGGCUAUGGAGCUUUAUUUUAAUCAGCUUCUUCCCAAUUGCCUUUAGCGCAAAAUAAUCCUUAGGCCGGAGUGGCAUAUUUUCGGGUGGUAUAUACUUCUACCCUUUACACCUUUGAGAAUGCAGCUUGGCCAAAGCAGUAGUUCACGCCUGUAAUUCCAGCGCUUUGGAGGCCGAGGCGGGCCAAUCACUUGAGGUCAGGAGUUUGAGACUAGCCUGGCCAACAUGGUGAAACCUGGUCUCUACCAAAAAAUACAAAAAUAGCCAAGUGCGGUGGCGCACACCCGUAGUCCCAGCUACUCGGGAGGCUGAGGCAGGAGAAUCGCUGGAACCCAGGAAACAGAGGUUGCAGUGAGCCGAGAUGGCUUUUAAUCAAUGCUUUAAUAGAGAAAUAUGCAAGACCUUUGGUAACCCAGAGAAAUCACUAGAAGGAAGGCAGAGUAGCACCUGGCAGGGGGUAAGGCAUUAGAACUGUGCCUUGAAAGGUGAGUAGGAGUGUGCAGGCAUGCAGGAAAUGUGAUUCAGCCAGAAAUACCGUGUCUUCUUCUCUGAGCUUGAAUUCCAAAUGCUUCUCACCAGGAUUCCCCCUCUCCUCUUCAGGCUGAAAACAGACAGGGCUUGCCUUUUUAGGGCAAAGGCUAGGCCCAACAUUUCCUAGGAAUAUGCCUCCCACUUUUGGUCCCAAGGUGGUUGGCUUUUGCUCAGAACAAUAGUAACAAUCUCAUUCUUCACUCUUACCUGUGUGUAUAAGUAACACUUUAAAGCAUGCUGUCAGGUUCUCCAAAGAAACAGAACCAGUAGGACAGAGACAGAUAGAAACAGAGGUAGAGAAA